rnacentral:SRP_RNA from 1 species
UGUUGGUUCUCCCGCAACGCGGAAGCGUGUGCCGGGAUGUAGCUGGCA